rnacentral:tRNA from 3 species
UCCACAGUAGCCCAGUGGUAGAGCUAUCGGCUGUUAACCGAUCGGUCGUAGGUUCGAGUCCUACCUGUGGAGCCA